UACACACUGUACACAGUGUACACACUGCACAUACAGGCUGUAGAGUCGAACAUCCACCACGGAGGUGACGUUGGCCGUGUGUUCACAGCUGAUGGAGGCCGACGCGUCCGGGUUCACCGUCCGAUACCGAGGCUGUUUGACCUCGAACCCUGACGGAGGACAAACACUCAGCUGAUCACGAGCUUCAACAACAACAACAACAACAUCCAGACCGUGGAUGGUGAAGUGGAGCGUCCUACCGUGACUGAGGUGGAAGAUGAAGAUGAAGAUGACGAAGGUGCGAGCCAUCAUCUUCUGCUCCGUCUCGCACUUCGGUGAGAAAGUACUGAACUGGACAAGAUCUGACGCUCGUCGCUGACAUGUGGAGCGUUCAGAUUGAAUCGUUUACGUUGGUUCAUGAGGCGUGACGUUAAAUAUCGCUGCUGCAAGGAAGUGUGGUCUCAGGAUUUGCUGAUUGGAUAAAAACAUGAAUGACGAGUUCCUAAUAAAGUGUCAGUGAUGUUCAAAGUCUUCAAACAGAAUCUGAAAGGAGUGAAAAUAACAAUAUUUCCAGAAGUAAAGUAAAGUAUCUGUGAUCUUCAACAACGCAAAGUUUCCCUGAGGUGAUUGGAUCUGAUGAACCCGAGUCAGCAGUUAGUCCACAUCCUGUUUUCAGGCCUGGUGCUUCUGUGAAAGUACGUGAGUGUUUGAAAGAAAAUGAAAACCACACACGCAGUCAGCACAUUGUGAUUGGUCCGCUCCUCCUCCUCCGAGCUGAUUUACUGUCCAACUGACAGACGUGGUUUUAUCCUAUUUAUUAAUGUGAUGAUGAUUUAUUUUUGUUUGAGGAAGCAACACGGUUCUUUCUAAGUGUCUGGACGUCUUCAUGUCUUCUGGCUUUUUAUUUCUAACACACCGACACACUGACGAGUACUUUUUUUGUACUUGUACUCUUUGUUUGAGUAUUUCUGCCACUGCGUAUUGUACGGUACUGUACAAAGACACAUUUAAUGUAACAUCAGCAUGUUAGCAGUUAGCAUCAAGCCCGUACAGUCAAUGAACAGCUCAGAAGUGAAGCCAAUAAAUCCUGGUCGCCCCCUGGUGGCUGACUGCAGUACAGGUCAUAAACCACAUGGACCAAACUGGAAAACCAUAUCAGAUGAUUUCUGUCAUGUGAAGUCGUUCUUAUCUCUGCUGUUUGUUCACGUGUUCAUGUUUCAUUCCUUAUUUGAUGAUAUAAAACUCGGGGGGUAAAAGUCAAUGGCACAAAAUGGCGGCACCUGUAUCCAGGACGUUCUGGCCUGUUGAGACGCAUCGUCCAUCUUUACAUCACUCACAGUUUAUUGUCUCCGGCUUUAGACUCGGAAAGACGCUUCAAGCCUGGUGUUCAUUUUUCUUCAUCAUUCAUUUUAAAUGUGUUGAAACAAAAAAAUCUUAUCAGGAGUUGGUCCUCGUCUUUUUCAUCAACACUUCAUAAUCAGAAUCAUAAUCAUAAUCAGAAGCUUCACUUGGACUACGGCCGUCAGUUUUCCAUACGUGUCUUUGAUUGUGACCAUUGCGAACAACCAGAAACCCUUUUGAUUCCCGACAUCAACAUCCUUGUUCUGACGCACUCUUUGUUUUUUCUUGUUUUUUGACCCUAAACGAAAAAACUGGAGUCGGUCGAGUUCAUUCGAACCCGAGACGAACGUGUCUGAGCUGAAAAACCACAGGCAGGAAAUGUUUUCACACAAAGAGAAUUCAGCCUUUGAGACAAGAACCCGCUAAAACAAAAGUCAUGUCCAUAGAAAAUAACAACUUUUAUUAUCUGAC